UCCCGUCCGUCUGUCUGUCUGUCUGUCUCUCUCUCUCUCUCUCUCUCUCUCUCUCUCGACUUGGCCGUGGGAGGUUACUACAGUCGGAAGGUGGCCAUCUGCAAGUAGGAAGAAGGCCCUCAAAAGAGCCCUGAUCUCGGACUUCCCAGCCUCCAAGAACUGUACUGAAAACUUAAUCCCCAGGACCUCAGAAUGUGACUGGGUUUGGAGAUAAGAUCUUUAAAGAGGUUGUUCAUUCUUCUUAUAUCCAGUCCCAUCUGGAGCCCAACGAAAUGAAUGUCACUCAGCAACACAGAAGGGCAACUGGACCACAACCAACUAUG